UUUCCGUAGGUGAACCUGCGGAAGGAUCAUUAUUGUAUAACCGAGGUGCGAGGGCUGUCGCUGACCGAAAGGUCGUGCACGCCCGAAGGCCCUCACACACAUCCAUCUCACCCCUCUGUGCACCACCGCGUGGUUCCCCCUUUGGCUUGUUCGGAGGGGGGCUUACGUUUUCACACAAACUUUGUAUGCAGUGUAGAAUGUAUUUUUUGUUUUUGCGAUCACGCAAUCAAUACAACUUUCAACAACGGAUCUCUUGGCUCUC
rnacentral:misc_RNA from 1 species